rnacentral:rRNA from 1 species
AUUGAACGCUGGCGGCAGGCCUAACACAUGCAAGUCGAGCGAGCGGCGGACGGGUGAGUAAUGUAUGGGGACUGCCCGAUAGAGGGGGAUAAAUACUGUAAACGGUAGCUAAUACCGCAUACUAUCGGAUAACCCAUAUGGGAUUAGCUAGUAGGUGAGGUAAUGGCUCACAUAGUCGACGAUCCCUAGCUGGUCUGAGAGGAAGAUCAGCCACACUGGGACUGAGACACGGCCCAGACUCCUACGGAGGCAGCAGUGGGGAAUAUUGUACAAUGGGCGCAAGCCUUAUGCAGCCAUGCCGCGUGUAUGAAGAAGGCCCUAGGGUUGUAAAGUACUUUCAGUCGGGAGGCGUUACCGACAGAAGAAGCACCGGCUAACUCCGUGCCAGCCGCCGCGGUAAUAC